rnacentral:rRNA from 1 species
UACGAAGGGGGCUAGCGUUGCUCGGAAUUACUGGGCGUAAAGCGCACGUAGGCGGUCUUUUAAGUCGGGGGUGAAAUCCUGGAGCUCAACUCCAGAACUGCCUCGAUACUGGAAGACUCGAGUCCGGGAGAGGUGAGUGGAACUGCGAGUGUAGAGGUGAAAUUCGUAGAUAUUCGCAAGAACACCAGUGGCGAAGGCGGCUCACUGGCCCGGUACUGACGCUGAGGUGCGAAAGCGUGGGGAGCAAACAGGG